rnacentral:rRNA from 1 species
UACAGAGGGUGCGAGCGUUAAUCGGAAUGACUGGGCGUAAAGCGCGCGUAGGCGGCAGGACAAGUUGGAUGUGAAAGCCCCGGGCUCAACCUGGGAACGGCAUUCAAAACUGUCUAGCUCGAGUACAGAAGAGGUAAGUGGAAUUUCCGGUGUAGCAGUGAAAUGCGUAGAGAUCGGAAGGAACACCAGUGGCGAAGGCGGCUUACUGGUCUGAUACUGACGCUGAGGCGCGAAGGCGUGGGGAGCAAACAGG